UACGGAGGGUGCAAGCGUUAAUCGGAAUUACUGGGCGUAAAGCGCACGUAGGUGGUUUUUCUAAGUCAGCUGUGAAAUCCCCCGGGCUCAACCUGGGACUUUGCAGUUGAAACUGGAAAGCUAGAGUAGGGUAGGGAGGGUGUGAAUUCCAGGUGUAGCGGUGAAAUGCGCAGAUAUCAGGAGGAACACCGGUGGCGAAGGCGGGUCUCUGGGCCGAUACUGACGCUGAGGAGCGAAAGCGUGGGGAGCAAACAGG
rnacentral:rRNA from 1 species